ACAUGAGUCAAAAGUCGCAUCUCUUGAUAUCGCUGUAGAUAGCUCGUCUCGCAAGUGUUUCGCAUGACCGCACCAUAAAGCUUUGGACAUGCUGUGGGAAUGAUGAAGAUAAUGGGAGAGAAACAAUGGACAUAGAACUCUAGUUUGUUUUUGAGUUAUUUACAUUUUACACUCUCACAUACUUUUUCAUCUUUCAUUUUACACUCCCACACUUUCAUCUUCCAAAACAAUUUUUUUCCUGUGUUAUUACCGAAACGCCCCCAACUACAUACCAUACACUUUUAUCUUUCAAAAAUAACGGUCCUCUUUUUUUUUUUCUCUCUCUCAUUCUCUCUCUUAUUAUUAUUUUAGUUACUUAAUAUAAAGUGUUUUGUCUGUUUUCUUAUAUAAUAAAUCAAGAAUUCAUUUUUCCUACAUUUUAAGAUCCAUUGUUACUAUAUUUUAAGUAAAUAAUUAUAUGACAGUUUAUCCAUUUCCGAUCGAACAUUUGUUUACUAUUAAAUGGAUUUUAAAAGGUACUUGCACAAAUAUACUAUACCGAUAUUUAUAACUACUGAUCAUCCAAACAUGUGAAAGAAAGUGAAUGCAAAGCUUGAAAAAACAAAAAUGCAGAUGUAUUAAUUCAAGCGUUCUGAUCUGAUCUGAUUCAAAUAAAAGAGAAGAACAUGACAAGUAAGAUGUCCAUCAAAGAUUGUAUAUAUGGAUGAUGGCAAGUAUGUUGACUAUUCAGUGUUAUUAAGUAUGUUUAGUGAACUUGAUCUAAGCAAUAUCCUUUGACCAUCUAAGUGGAUAAGUGUUUAUGGACAAGUGUUAAUGGACAAGUAUUUAUGGCCGAAACUAAGUAGAUGAACUGAAAGUGUUUAGAGAACCUUAAAUCUAUUAUGGUGUUGCUGGUUGUGAUGGUUUCCCAAGCCUGCAACAAGUCUUGAUGAUUUUCAAUUGGCCGACGAUAUAUAUGGUUUUCACAAAGCAUAUACAGUUAUCCAAACUUACUUUUAUUUGUGUGUUUUUAAGCUGGUGGUUCUUUAAGUCAUCCAUUUGUUCGAAUCUAGUAGACUAGUACAUGGACGAUAUGAACAUGUUGAAACAAACAAUUGUUCACAAUGUCAUGGAUGAUAUGGUUAUUAAUGAAUCAAAUCAGAUCAGAACUCUUGAAAUAAAUUUGCAUU
rnacentral:sRNA from 1 species